UACGAAGGGGGCUAGCGUUGUCCGGAAUUACUGGGCGUAAAGAGCUCGUAGGUGGUUUGUCGCGUUGUUCGUGAAAACUCACAGCUUAACUGUGGGCGUGCGGUCGAUACGGGCAUCACUGGAGUUCGGCAGGGGAGACUGGAAUUCCUGGUGUAGCGGUGAAAUGCGCAGAUAGUCAGGGAGGGAACACCCGGUGGCGAAGGCGGGUCUCUGGGCCGAUACUGACGCUGGAGG
rnacentral:rRNA from 1 species